CCUACGGGAGGCAGCAGUGGGGAAUAUUGCGCAAUGGGCGAAAGCCUGACGCAGCGACGCCGCGUGAGGGAUGAAGGUCUUCGGAUCGUAAACCUCUGUCAGCAGGGAAGAACGGUCACUGUGCUAAUCAGCAGUGAAUUGACGGUACCUGCAAAGGAAGCACCGGCUAACUCCGUGCCAGCAGCCGCGGUAAUACGGAGGGUGCGAGCGUUAAUCGGAAUUACUGGGCGUAAAGCGCUCGUAGGCGGUAUGUCAAGUCAAGGGUGAAAGCCCCGGGCUCAACGGGGGAACUGCCUUUGAUACUGGCAAACUGGAGUGUGUGAGAGGAUAGUGGAAUUCCAGGUGUAGGAGUGAAAUCCGUAGAUAUCUGGAGGAACAUCAGUGGCGAAGGCGACUAUCUGGCACAUAACUGACGCUGAGGAGCGAAAGCGUGGGUAGCAAACAGGAUUAGAUACCCCAGUAGUC
rnacentral:rRNA from 1 species